rnacentral:rRNA from 1 species
CUUGGUCAUUUAUNGGAAGUAAAAGUCGUAACAAGGUUUCCGUAGGUGAACCUGCGGAAGGAUCAUUAGAGAAUUAGGUCAGACUUCGGUCGACCAACCCUCUUUCCAACUCUGUGAACUAUGGCAACGAAAGCUUCGGCUUGACUUGCGUCUCAUUUAAACAUCAGUCAUUGUAUGUAACAAAAACAAAAUAAGAAAAACUUUCAACAACGGAUCUCUUGGCUCUCGCAUCGAUGAAGAACGCAGCGAAAUGUGAUAAGUAAUGUGAAUUGCAGAAUUCAGUGAAUCAUCGAAUCUUUGAACGCACCUUGCGCUCGCUGGUAUUCCGGCGAGCAUGUCUGUUUGAGUGUCAUGAACUCUUCAACUUCUUGUUCCUAGUGAACAAUGAAUGCUUGGAUUCUGGGGGCUGCAGUGUAUUCUGCUCCCCCGUAAAGUAUUAGCAUAUCUAAUUCGAACCUCGGAUUGACUCAAUGUAAUAGACUAUUCAUUGAGGACGAGCGUUGUAAAAGUGAUAGCUUCGAACACCCCCAGUCAACNCUUUUAGACCUCANGAUCAGGNCAGGAUUANCCCGCUGAANCNUUAAGCAUNAUCAAUNAAGCGGAGGAAAAGNAAACUAACCANGGAUUCCCCNUAGUANACGGCGAGUGAAGCGGGACGAGCUCAAAUUUGUAANUCUGGCUGCUUCGCAGUCCGAGUUGUAAUCUCGAGAAGUGUUUNUCCGCGCUGGACGGCAUACAAGUCUGUUGGAAUACAGCGUCAUAGUGGUGAGAACCCNCGUAGAUGAUGCCUGCUCCAGUGCUCUGUGAUACACUUUCGAANGAGUCGAGNUUGUUNUGGGNAAUGCAGCUCAAAGUGGGUGGUAAAUUCCAUCUAAAGCUAAAUAUUGGCGAGAGACCGAUAGCGAACAAGUACCGUGAGGGAAAGAUGAAAAGCACUUUGGAAAGAGAGUUAACAGUACGUGAAAUUGUUGGAAGGGAAACGCUUGAAGUCAGACUUGGGGGGCGGAGUUCAGCCUUUUGGUGUACUCUUCGCCUACCAGGCCAGCAUCAGUUUUGGGGGGUGGAAAAGGGUCGAUUGAAGGUAGCAGCUUGCUGUGUUAUAGCUUUCGACUGGAUUCACCUUCUGGGACUGAGGAACGCAGUGUGCUUUUAGCGCUCCCCUCGGGGAGUUCACACUUAGGAUGCUGGUGGAAUGGCUUUAAACGACCCGUCUUGAAAUCACGGACC